AGCGUAGGUGUGUGAGGUGCUCGCUCGAAGGCCCCCGUGGAGGAGAAGUAAACAGAAAUGUUCAUAAAUAAUCAUUAGCUAGCAUUGGCACUAUUGAUUUGCCUUUAAAAAAAUGUUUUUACAGUGAUCACUACACCAUGGCAGAUGGUGGCGAGUUGGAUAACUAUAUUAUAAUCUAUCCUACUGCCAGUGUGAUUUUUUCUUGCUUGAUGUGAAUUUUAUCGGUGUUUUAAAAGGCAAUCUAGCUAGCUAUGUCAAGGGGAUUUAUUAUGCUAUUUAAAUUGUAGUUAAUUGUUUUCCAGCAGCUAGGUCGAUUGCUAUUCAUGUUAUGCUUGUAAAUGAUUAGCUAGUUAUGUUGUGCUGUUAUUCAAUCAAUUGUAGCAUUACUAGCUAACUAUCUCACUUAGCGACUGAAUUGUUGUUGAGAGAUUCAGCAAGGUAAUGUAACACCAAACAAGUAGGGAGUUAUUUUUGGGUCGCAGCUGCUGGAAAUUCAAUGUUUGGGGGAGGAUGGAGUGUGAGAAUAGAGAUUGAUGUGUGUGUGCACCAUUGAUAGUAAAAUAAUGUGCGUGCGUGAGAGAUCCUGCGCGCACUUGUCUGUGGUCAAAGGGCAGCUAUAACAGUUUCUCCCACUGAGACAAGAUACUACUGACUCAGCAGGUCAACCCAGGACACAAGAGGUACCUCUAAGUUACUGUUGUUUGCCCUCUUAGACUGAAGUUGUGAUGCAUCUCCCUCUCUGCUUUCCAUUCUGCUGUUUUUCCUCUCACUUUUUAUUCUCCCCUUUCUCUACUCUCCCUUUUUAGCCCCAUUUUAUAUGUCAAUGUCUCCCUCUUGCUCUCUCUCAAUUAAAUGCACAUUUAAGGGCUUUAUUGGCAUGGGAAACAUAUGUUUACAUUGCCAAAGCAAGUGAAAUAAAUAAAUACUUUGUGAAAUAAACAAUAAAAAAUGAACAGUAAACAUUACACUUAUAAAAGUUCCAAAAGAAUAAAGACAUUUAAAUGUCAUGUCUAUAUACAGUGUUGUAAUGAUGUGCAAAUAGUUAAAGUACAAAAGGGAAAUAAUUCAACAUAAAUAUAGGUUGUAUUUGCAAUUGUGUUUGUUCUUCACUGGUUGCCCAAUAGAUAUGGGAGUUUAUCGACAUUAGAUUUGUUUUCAAAUUAUUUAUGGGUCUGUGUAGUCUGAGGGAAAUAUGUGUCUAAUAUGGUCAUACAUUUGGAAGGAGGUUAGGAAGUGCAGCACAGUUUCCACCUCCUUUUGUGGGCAGUGAGCACAUAGCCUGUCUUCUCUUGAGAGCCAGGUCUGCCUACGGCGGCCUUUCUCAAUAGCAAGGCUAUGCUCACUGAGUCUGUACAUAGUCAACGCUUUCCUUAAGUUUGGGUCAGUCACAGUGGUCAGGUGUUCUCUCUCCCCAUGUUCCAUGUAGACAUGCAUUGGAUGAGCGGUUGAAGGAAACCAAUCGGGCUGGGUGCAAGCAGAAACCAUGGGUCCAGCAGGCUGGAUGAAGUGUCCGCUGUGCAGCACUAACAAGCGUUUCCUGCUCAACACCAUUCCACAGCCCUGCCCUGCUGGCCACUCAGGAGUACAGACAUCAAAUAGUAGGGGGCAGGACACCACCCAGAGACAAUUGGGAAUACAAAGACCACAGGGGACUCAGGGACAAAGACAAUCAUAGAGACAGCCGAGAACUUUGUCUCUUUUGUGUCCAUCUUUAAGACUAAGAUAGCAACACAGGCCAAGACAGCUACAAAGACAGAAGGGACUGAGACAAUGACAAUGACAGAGACAGCCAUAGAGACAAGAAACACCGACAUAAAAGAGCCUCUGGUCACAAGAGACACUUUGUCCCCAAAACACAGUCCCCAUGAUGGACACUCCCCAUCUUCUUCUAGACCAGGGUUUCCCCACCUCAGUCCUGAACCCUGGGGGCAUGUUUUGUUUUUUGCCCUAGCUGAUUCAAAAUACCAACUCCUCAUCAAGCUCUGAUUUUUUUUUAUCGGCUGUGUUGUGCUAUGGCAAAAACCAAAACAUGCUCCCAGGUGAGGCCUCAGGACCGAGUUUGGGAAACGCUGUUGAAGAGACCGCUCCCUCCACUGACAGUAGCUCCUCCUCCUCAUUCCACUCCAGGGCAAGCUCCCACUCGAUAGGCCACACCUUCUAUCAAUCAAACCAUUGCAGCAGACCACGCUCACCUGUCAAGGACACGCCCAGUGGAAGGAGCCACGUGUGACAUCAUAACCUUGGAGGGAGUGCUGUAAUGGUGUUACCCAGAGGAGGUCCCCCCCCCCUCAAAGACAUAAAUAUACCCAUUGAAUGACUGGAAAGAGAGUGUGUUUGUGUUAGAAUGUGAGAAAGACUGGUUGCUGUUGUAAGGUUGUGACAAGUAUUAACUAAUGAAAUUGUCUUUGUUUCUACUGAUCUUUUAACUAGGAGUGUCUUUCCUAUUUCUAUUCCCUAUUUUGACAAACACUUUACCCUGUCUUGCAUUCAGCUCUGUUAAUUCAUUGUCAAUCUCUGGUACAAUCUGUAAACUGACAUUAGUGACAGUAUUAGAGCCUAGUCCUGAGUGCAAGUUGCUGGUAAAACCUUUUGAGAUAAUCAAUCCAGAUCGAGUAACUGAGUUCAGGUUAACGAAGUCAUACCUACAGGGGUACCCAGGGUAGACUGGCUGAGGUUUCGUGUUUUCCAUUUUCCACAGAUGUAAUGUGCCUUAUAAUCCAGCAGGAGAAGGUGACCUCUGCACUGACAGUACCUAGGGCCUUUGACCUUCUUUUUGCUUUUAUGUCCAUUGCACUAUGUAUAGGGAUAACAGUUUUCUCCCAACAGAGUGAACUGAUUGGGUCUUAUCAUAGGUUAUAACCAUAGGGCUCAGGGAAGUUUGUCUGGUCAGGUCGUUAACCUACCUUGUUCAAAUUUCUCUUCUCAUGUUAAUGGUUUUUAACUAAAAUAUAGUCUACAUAAUUAGUCCCACAAAAUGCAAUAAAGUAUAAAAUCCCAUAAUGUAGAAGGAUAUGUUUUGUAUAACCCUUUCGAUUGGACAUUAACUUGAGUUGCCGUUUUUAUUUCACUGUCUCUCAUAGUUUGAUUAAUGGUGCUGUAAUUUCUUUACUCAGAAUAGAUUUGAUUUUAAUGUCGUUUGAAUUCUUCUGUCGUUCCUCACAGUUGGUCGUGUUUACAUAAGGCUGUCGCCACUGGGUAAGCACUUUUUAUCGUUUCUCCCUCUUCUUGACAUGUAUCUACCCGCUUUAUCAGUUUGUUAAAUAAAUCAUAUCUGCUGUUUCCGUGACACUCCUCGGGUUCUGUAAACCCAUUUUUUUCUUGAAUCCAAUAUCCCAAAUAUGUUAAUUCAAUAAUUAGCCGUUGAUAGUGAUAAUAAUACAAUAAUAACAGUAGUAUUAGAUCGUUAUUUUUAUUUAACCAG
ensembl:lncRNA